CGGGGAAUGGGGCGUCUGACAUGCAGUCGACGGUAAGGGGGCUUCGGCCCCCCUAGAGUGGCGAACGGCUGAGUAACACGUAGGAACCUACCCUUCAGUUUGGGAUAACGGACCGAAAGGCCCGCUAAUACCGAAUAAUACAGCAAUGUUGAAAGGUUUACUGCUGAAGGAGGGGCCUGCGGGCUAUUAGCUUGAUGGUGGGGUAACGGCCUACCAUGGCGAUGAUGGCUAGCUGGUCUGAGAGGAUGAUCAGCCAGACUGGGACUGAGACACGGCCCAGACUCCUACGGGAGGCUGCAGUUCAGAAUCUUGCACAAUGGGCGAAAGCCUGAUGCAGCGAUGCCGCGUGGGUGAAGAAGGCUCUCGGGUCGUAAAGCCCUGUCAGAGGGGAAGAAUAAUGACGGUACCCUCUAAGGAAGCCACGGCUAAUUACGUGCCAGCAGCCGCGGUAAUACGUAAGUGGCGAGCGUUAUCCGGAAUCACUGGGCGUAAAGAGUGCGUAGGCGGCGCAGCAAGUUGGAUUUGAAAUCCCGGGGCUCAACUCCGGACACGGAUCCAAAACUGUUGUGCUAGAGCAGAUCAGAGGACAGCGGAAUUCCCGGUGUAGCGGUAAUAUGCGUAGAUAUCGGGAGGAACACCAGUGGCGUAGGCGGCUGUCUGGGGUCUUGCUGACGCUGAGGCACUAAAGCCAGGGGAGCGAACGGGAUUAGAUACCCCGGUAGUCCUGGCCAUAAACGAUGAACACUAGGUGUCGGGGGUUUGACCCCCUCGGCGCCGCCGCUAACGCAUUAAGUGUUCCGCCUGGGGAGUACGGCCGCAAGGUUAAAACUCAAAGGAAUUGACGG
rnacentral:rRNA from 1 species